CUUGUUGGUAAGGUAGUGGCUUACCAAGGUUUUGACGGGUAACGGGGAAUCAGGGUUCGAUUCCGGAGAGGGAGCCUGAGAAACGGCUACCACAUCCAAGGAAGGCAGCAGGCGCGUAAAUUACCCAAUCCAGACAUUGGGAGGUAGUGACGAGAAAUACCGGAGCAGGUCUUUAUGAUUUGCUAUCGGAAUGAACGUAAUUUAAUAAAUUCGAUGAGGAACCACUGGAGGGCAAGUCUGGUGCCAGCAGCCGCGGUAAUUCCAGCUCCAGUAGUGUAUAUCAAAAUUGUUGCGGUUAAAACGCUCGUAGUUGAAUUACAAGGGCCGCGGUCGCCGGUCAAAGAAUUAAUUUCUACCGACGCCGCGGCUCUUUUUAUCGCAAGACCCGCGCAGGGCUUCACGGACGUGGUCGGGAGCUUGAGAAGUGUUUUCUGCCGACGCCGCGGCGCUUUUUAUCGGAAGACCCGCGCAUGGCUUCACUGGACUGCGUGGGAACUUGCGGAGUGUGCCUUGAAUAAAGCAUACUGCUCAAAGCAGGCGUACGCUCGAAUGUUACAGCAUGGAACGAAUAAGUAGGCUUGGUCCACUUUGUCGGUUUGGGACCGGGUCAAGAUUAAGAGGGGCAUUUGAGGGCAUUAGUACUCUGCGGCGAGAGGUGAAAUUCUUAGACCCGCAGAAGACUGACUAUCGCGAAGGCAUUUGUCAAGAAUGUUUUCAUUAAUCAAGGACGAAGGUCAGAAGUUCGAAGACGAUCAGAUACCGUCCUAGUUUUGACAGAAAACGAUGCUACCACGGGGUUAGUCCGAUACUAAUCAGGUUGGUCCCUCCGAGAAAUCUCAAGCCUUUGAGCUCCGGGGGGUGUACGGUACCGCAAGGCUGAGACUUAAAGAAAUUGACGGAAAGGCACCACCAGGAGUGGAGCCUGCGGCUUAAUUUGACUCAACACGGGGAAACUCACCAGGUCCAGACAUUGAUAGGAUUGACAGACUAAGCGAUCUUUCAUGAUCCAGUGAAUGGUGGUGCAUGGCCGUUCUUAGUUGGUGGAGUGAUCUGUCAGGUCUAUUCCGGUAACGAGCGAGACCACGAUCUCUAUUUUAUUAGGGUUGCUUCGGAACAACUUUAUCAUAGAGAGACUAUCGGACUUAAAGCCGGGGGAAGCGUGGCAAUAACAGGUCUGUGAUGCCCUUCGAUGUCCUGGGCUGCACGCGCGCUACAAUGGCAGUGACAAAGAGAUUAAUUGCUUCCCUGAAAAGGGCGACAAAACUUGUAAAUCACUGUCAUGAUUGGGAUUGAGCCUUGAAAUUAUUGCUCAUGAAAGAGGAAUUCCUAGUAAGUGCGGGUCACCAACUCGUGCUGAUACGUCUCUGCCUCUUGUAC
rnacentral:rRNA from 1 species